GAGACAUCCAAGAUCAACUACUCUAGAUUGAUUGAAACUAGAAACUGAUUUAGAGUUUGUAAACCUAAAGUGAUUGAAAACCCACUUUACAGAAGUACAGGAAAAAAAAUUCAACUCUUAGAAGAAGAAGAUUGAAUUCGUGGAAUCAAUUUCCUAGGAGUUCUAUAAGAAGAAGAUUGAAGUACAAAUAUUUGAAGAUUCAGGAAUGGAUCAUAUACUGUAAGAAGCUUAAGUUCUUGGAAUGACUCUUAGGAUCCCAUAUGCUUGGACAGUCUCGAGGAAGCAGAAGCUCAGUUU